UACGAAGGGGGCUAGCGUUGCUCGGAAUCACUGGGCGUAAAGCGCACGUAGGCGGAUCUUUAAGUCAGGGGUGAAAUCCUGGAGCUCAACUCCAGAACUGCCUCUGAUACUGGGGAUCUUGAGUCCGGAAGAGGUAAGUGGAACUGCGAGUGUAGAGGUGAAAUUCGUAGAUAUUCGCAAGAACACCAGUGGCGAAGGCGGCUUACUGGACUGUAACUGACGCUGAGGCAUGAAAGCGUGGGGAGCAAACAGG
rnacentral:rRNA from 1 species